rnacentral:rRNA from 1 species
GACGAACGCUGGCGGCGUGCCUAACACAUGCAAGUCGAACGGAAGUAAGUGCUUCGGUAUUUACUUUAGUGGCGAACGGGUGAGUAACGCGUGAGGAACCUGCCUUUCAGUGGGGGACAACAGUUGGAAACGACUGCUAAUACCGCAUGACGCUUCUUAGGGGCAUCCCUGAGAAGUCAAAGCUUUAUGUGCUGAAAGAUGGCCUCGCGUCUGAUUAGCUAGUUGGUGGGGUAACGGCCCACCAAGGCGACGAUCAGUAGCCGACCUGAGAGGGUGACCGGCCACAUUGGGACUGAGACACGGCCCAA